CUACGUGCCAGCAGCCGCGGUAAUACGGAGGGUGCGAGCGUUAAUCGGAAUAACUGGGCGUAAAGGGCACGCAGGCGGCUAUUUAAGUGAGGUGUGAAAUCCCCGGGCUUAACCUGGGAAUUGCAUUUCAGACUGGGUAACUAGAGUACUUUAGGGAGGGGUAGAAUUCCACGUGUAGCGGUGAAAUGCGUAGAGAUGUGGAGGAGUACCGAAGGCGAAGGCAGCCCCUUGGGAAUGUACUGACGCUCAUGUGCGAAAGCGUGGGGAGCAAACAGGAUUAGAUACCCUGGUAGUCCACGCUGUAAACGCUGUCGAUUUGGGGAUUGGGCUUAAAGCUUGGUGCCCGUAGCUAACGUGAUAAAUCGACCGCCUGGGGAGUACGGCCGCAAGGUUAAAACUCAAAUGAAUUGACGGGGGCCCGCACAAGCGGUGGAGCAUGUGGCUUAAUUCGAUGCAACGCGAAGAACCUUACCUACUCUUGACAUCCAUGGAAUCCAGUAGAGAUACGGGAGUGC
rnacentral:rRNA from 1 species